rnacentral:rRNA from 1 species
AUGGCCGCCCCUCACCGUGCUUUCCCCGAUCCGCCGCCGAUGGCCGCCUUCCGCUCCGGCCGACACGCUGCCCACCUCCGCCUGGCCGUACCACCGCGGCUGGCCGCCCACCCCUCCUUCCGCUUCCCCACCACGCCGCUCCCCACCCCAUCCAAGACGCGCCUCCCCGCCGCCGGCGCCGUUUCUCCCUACGCCGCCGCGCUCCUGCGCAUCCUCGCGCUCCACUCCCUCUUCCUUCUCGCGCCCGCCGCCCGAGCGCUCCCCUCCCUGCCCCACCUCUUCCUGCUUCCGCCGCUCCUCGCCAUCAUCUCCGCCGUCGCCAUCCUCCUCAUCCCCUCCAAGAGCCAGCCCCACCCCUUCCCGGCGCUCCGCCACCUCUUCCGUCCCGCCCUCCUCCUAGCGGCGUCCCUUCUCCUCCGGCUCGCCUCCCUCCACCUCAUCACCGACACCGGUCUCAUCGUCCUCGCAGAUUCCGCCGGUGCACUGCUCGCCCGCGCCCUCAACCGUCCCUCCCGCCGCCGCGUGAUCUCCGUCGCUGCCGCCUCCGUUUCGCUCGCAGCCGCAUCGCCUUCCCACCCCGUGCUUCUUCUCGCGCUCCCCUUUGCUUCCGGCCUCCUCUCCUCGGUCGAGCACUCUGUAUCUGCGCGACAUGUCACCCGCAGCCGCCACGCCCGUGCGGCCGUUUUUGCCCUCGCCGCCACCUUCCUCUCGGCGCCGGCACUCGCGGGCCUCUUCUUUCUUGGUGGCACUGACACCAGCGAUGGUGUCCCGAUUGGCCAGCUCUGGUGGCUGCUCCUUAAUGCCGCUGUCUUUGGCAUGGCCUUGGGGCGACGGCAAGCCUACGACAGCAGUAGCAGUAGCAGCAGACCAAGCAUGAAUUUUGCGAUGACCUUUGUGUGCACUAUUGUUCUGGAGCUGGUGUACUACCCAAAGCUGUCGUUGCCGGGCUUCUUAGUUUGUGGGUUCAUCUUGUGGAUCGCCAGCAGGGAGCUGACUCCUUCAGGAUAUGUUGAGCUUGGGAGCGCUGACGAGUCGGUGUAUGAGGCAGUCAUGGGGCCAGUCCGGCAUAUCCUUAGUGAACGCAAGUCCAGGAAGAUUGCUGCUUUUCUGUUGAUCAACACAGCUUACAUGUUUGUUGAGUUUGCCAGCGGUUUCAUGAGUGAUAGCCUUGGGCUGCUCUCUGACGCUUGCCAUAUGUUGUUUGAUUGUGCUGCUCUGGCAAUUGGACUAUAUGCGUCGUACAUUGCGAGGCUGCCUGCAAAUGGAUUGUAUAACUAUGGAAGGGGCAGGUUCGAGGUGCUAUCUGGGUAUGUUAAUGCAGUGUUCUUGGUGCUUGUUGGCGCCCUGAUUGUGUUGGAGUCGUUUGAGAGGAUACUCGAGCCUCGGGAGAUAUCAACAAGUAGCCUUUUGGCAGUUUCUGUUGGUGGACUUUUCGUAAAUAUCAUUGGAUUGGUUUUCUUUCAUGAGGAGCACCAUCAUGCGCAUGGCGGUAGCUGCUCUCACUCCCAUUCACAUUCUCAUUCCCGUUCACAUGAUCAUGGUCAUGAAGAUCACCAUCAUGACCAUGUUCAUCAGAGUGCUGAUCACGAGAAGACAUGUUCUGGUCAUCAUGGAGACACAAAUAAGAGCCAUCAUCAUAAUCACCGACAUGAUAGUAACAAUGCAGAGAAUCAUCAUCAACAUAACCAUAGCUGUAGCCACAAGCAUGGUCACAAUGGCCAUAUGGAACAUCACCGGCAGGGUGUAGAUCAGGCUCAUCAAGAUUGUAGCAGCAUCAACGGUGAGCAAGGACUUCUAGAGAUUCCACUGAUAAAUGUGCACUCUCAUGGUGCAGAAUCUCAGUCUUGUAAUGGAGAACUGGAAUUGCGAGAAACCGGAAACCAUGCCAAGCCGGCAAGCCGGCGUCACAUUGACCAUAACAUGGAAGGUAUCUUCUUACAUGUCCUAGCUGACACAAUGGGAAGCGCCGGUGUUGUGAUCUCAACCCUACUAAUCAAGUACAAGGGAUGGCUAAUAGCAGAUCCCAUUUGCUCUGUAUUCAUUUCAAUAAUGAUUGUGGCUUCUGUCCUUCCAUUGUUGAGAAAUUCUGCUGAAAUUUUGUUGCAAAGAGUUCCAAGGAGCCAUGAGAAGGACUUCGAAGCAGCACUGGAUGAUGUUAAGAAGAUUAAUGGUGUGAUUGGAGUCCAUAAUGUUCAUUUAUGGAACUUGACAAACACUGAUAUUGUAGGCACUUUUCAUCUUCAUAUAUCAGCUGAAGCUGACAAGUCUGUUAUAAGAGAAAGUGCUUCACGGAUAUUUCAAGAAGCUGGGGUUCAAGAUCUGACUAUCCAGAUCGAAUGUGUCGAAAGAUAG